rnacentral:lncRNA from 1 species
UGCAGAACAUGGCCGAUCCUGGAGUCCCGGCGAGACUGGAGAAACAACUGCUGCUCUGCUGUCCUCCCCUCUCAUCAUCUGACUCACUCCUUUGACUGACACCCAUCCACAGGGACGCCUACACAAAGUGGUCACUCUGCAGUCGACGUAUCAUCCCAGCUACUGGUGGUCAUCGGGGACGCAGCUAUGUGUGUCUCCAUUUUGCAGAUGAGGACAUGGAGGCCUCAAGAGGUUAAGUGACUUGCUCAGCCACACACAGCUGAUGGGAAUGAAACAGAUGGAAACGGAGACUCCCCAAGCUGACAGGCGGACUACAGAUCUGGGGGUUCUGCUCCAGGCUCAACACAAGUGGCCUGGGCGAGGGAGGGCCUGGUAGACCAUGACACCCAGCAUCGAGGAAUUCUGCUUCCCCAGCAGGCUCAGAAGGAAGAAGUCUGCUUCAGGGGCCAGGCCUGGUCAAAGACUCCAUCUUCCCUGGAUGGCCAGAGUCAAAUCCUUGCAAAUCCCGUUCACCAUGGAGCAGAGACGAGACCUAUGUUACCCAGGCUGUAUGUGAAUUCCUGGACUCAAGCAAUCCUCCCAUCUCAGCCUCGUGAGUAGUUGGGACAAG